rnacentral:rRNA from 1 species
GACGAACGCUGGCGGCGUGCUUAACACAUGCAAGUCGAACGGAAAGGCCUCUUUCGGGGGGUACUCGAGUGGCGAACGGGUGAGUAACACGUGAGUAACCUGCCCUUGACUUUGGGAUAACUUCAGGAAACUGGGGCUAAUACCGGAUAGGAGCUCCUGCUGCAUGGUGGGGGUUGGAAAGUUUCGGCGGUUGGGGAUGGACUCGCGGCUUAUCAGCUUGUUGGUGGGGUAGUGGCUUACCAAGGCUUUGACGGGUAGCCGGCCUGAAAGGGUGACCGGCCACAUUGGGACUGAGAUACGGCCCAGACUCCUACGGGAGGCAGCAGUGGGGAAUAUUGCACAAUGGGUGGAAGCCUGAUGCAGCAACGCCGUGUGCGGGAUGACGGCCUUCGGGUUGUAAACCGCUUUCGCUCAUGACGAAGCUUUGUGUGACGGUAGUGGGUAAAGAAGCACCGGCUAACUACGUG